rnacentral:rRNA from 1 species
UACAGAGGUGGCAAGCGUUGUUCGGAAUUACUGGGCGUAAAGCGCGUGUAGGCGGCCCGGUAAGUCCGCUGUGAAAGUCGGGGGCUCAACCCUCGGAUGCCGGUGGAUACUGUCGGGCUCGAGUACGGAAGAGGCGAGUGGAAUUCCUGGUGUAGCGGUGAAAUGCGCAGAUAUCAGGAGGAACACCAAUUGCGAAGGCAGCUCGCUGGGACGUAACUGACGCUGAGACGCGAAAGCGUGGGGAGCAAACAGG